GACGAACGCUGGCGGCGUGCGUAAUACAUGCAAGUUGAGCGCUGAAGGUUGGUACUUGUACCAACUGGAUGAGCAGCGAACGGGUGAGUAACGCGUGGGGAAUCUGCCUUUGAGCGGGGGACAACAUUUGGAAACGAAUGCUAAUACCGCAUAAAAACUUUAAACACAAGUUUUAAGUUUGAAAGAUGCAAUUGCAUCACUCAAAGAUGAUCCCGCGUUGUAUUAGCUAGUUGGUGAGGUAAAGGCUCACCAAGGCGAUGAUACAUAGCCGACCUGAGAGGGUGAUCGGCCACAUUGGGACUGAGACACGGCCCAAACUCCUACGGGAGGCAGCAGUAGGGAAUCUUCGGCAAUGGACGAAAGUCUGACCGAGCAACGCCGCGUGAGUGAAGAAGGUUUUCGGAUCGUAAAACUCUGUUGGUAGAGAAGAACGUUGGUGAGAGUGGAAAGCUCAUCAAGUGACGGUAACUACCCAGAAAGGGACGGCUAACUACGUG
rnacentral:rRNA from 1 species